rnacentral:rRNA from 1 species
AUUGAACGCUGGCGGCAUGCUUUACACAUGCAAGUCGAACGGCAGCGCGGGCUUCGGCCUGGCGGCGAGUGGCGAACGGGUGAGUAAUGCAUCGGAACGUGCCCAGUAGUGGGGGAUAGCCCGGCGAAAGCCGGAUUAAUACCGCAUACGACCUGAGGGUGAAAGCGGGGGACCGAAAGGCCUCGCGCUAUUGGAGCGGCCGAUGUCGGAUUAGCUAGUUGGUGGGGUAAAGGCUUACCAAGGCGACGAUCCGUAGCUGGUCUGAGAGGACGACCAGCCACACUGGGACUGAGACACGGCCCAGACUCCUACGGGAGGCAGCAGUGGGGAAUUUUGGACAAUGGGGGCAAGCCUGAUCCAGCCAUGCCGCGUGCGGGAAGAAGGCCUUCGGGUUGUAAACCGCUUUUGUUCGGGAAGAAAUCCUGUGGGCUAAUACCCCGGGGGGAUGACGGUACCGGAAGAAUAAGCACCGGCUAACUACGUG